UACGAAGGGUGCAAGCGUUACUCGGAAUUACUGGGCGUAAAGCGCGCGUAGGCGGCUGCCUAAGUCGGAUGUGAAAGCCCCGGGCUCAACCUGGGAACUGCAUUCGAUACUGGGCGGCUAGAGUAUGAGAGGGAGGUAGAAUUCCACGUGUAGCGGUGAAAUGCGUAGAUAUGUGGAGGAAUACCGGUGGCGAAGGCGGCCUUCUGGACAGUGACUGACGCUGAGACGCGAAAGCGUGGGGAGCAAACAGG
rnacentral:rRNA from 1 species